GAUGAACGCUGGCGGCGUGCCUAAUACAUGCAAGUCGAGCGAACAGACGAGGAGCUUGCUCCUCUGACGUUAGCGGCGGACGGGUGAGUAACACGUGGAUAACCUACCUAUAAGACUGGGAUAACUUCGGGAAACCGGAGCUAAUACCGGAUAAUAUAUUGAACCGCAUGGUUCAAUAGUGAAAGACGGUUUUGCUGUCACUUAUAGAUGGAUCCGCGCCGCAUUAGCUAGUUGGUAAGGUAACGGCUUACCAAGGCAACGAUGCGUAGCCGACCUGAGAGGGUGAUCGGCCACACUGGAACUGAGACACGGUCCAGACUCCUACGGGAGGCAGCAGUAGGGAAUCUUCCGCAAUGGGCGAAAGCCUGACGGAGCAACGCCGCGUGAAUGAUGAAGGUCUUCGGAUCGUAAAACUCUGUUAUUAGGGAAGAACAAAUGUGUAAGUAACUAUGCACGUCUUGACGGUACCUAAUUAGAAAGCCACGGCUAACUACGUG
rnacentral:rRNA from 1 species